rnacentral:rRNA from 1 species
CCUACGGGUGGCAGCAGUGGGGAAUAUUGGGCAAUGGACGCAAGUCUGACCCAGCAACGCCGCGUGAAGGAAGAAGGCUUUCGGGUUGUAAACUUCUUUUAAGGGGGAAGAGCAGAAGACGGUACCCCUUGAAUAAGCCACGGCUAACUACGUGCCAGCAGCCGCGGUAAUACGGGGGAUGCAAGCGUUAUCCGGAUUUAUUGGGUUUAAAGGGUGCGUAGGCUGUGAGGUAAGUCAGCGGUGAAAUGCCCCCGCUCAACGGGGUGAAGUGCCAUUGAUACUGCCUUGCUGGAAUGCGGAUGCCGUGGGAGGAAUGUGUGGUGUAGCGGUGAAAUGCAUAGAUAUCACACAGAACACCGAUUGCGAAGGCAUCUCACGAAUCCGCGAUUGACGCUGAUGCACGAAAGCGUGGGUAUCAAACAGGAUUAGAUACCCCAGUAGUC